GGGUUAGUCGGGUCCUAAGCUGAGGCCGACAGGCGUAGGCGAUGGAUAACAGGUUGAUAUUCCUGUACCACCUAUAAUCGUUUUAAUCGAUGGGGGGACGCAGUAGGAUAGGCGAAGCGUGCGAUUGGAUUGCACGUCUAAGCAGUAAGGCUGAGUAUUAGGCAAAUCCGGUACUCGUUAAGGCUGAGCUGUGAUGGGGAGAAGACAUUGUGUCUUCGAGUCGUUGAUUUCACACUGCCGAGAAAAGCCUCUAGAUAGAAAAUAGGUGCCCGUACCGCAAACCGACACAGGUAGUCAAGAUGAGAAUUCUAAGGUGAGCGAGCGAACUCUCGUUAAGGAACUCGGCAAAAUGACCCCGUAACUUCGGGAGAAGGGGUGCUCUUUAGGGUUAACGCCCAGAAGAGCCGCAGUGAAUAGGCCCAAGCGACUGUUUAUCAAAAACACAGGUCUCUGCUAAACCGUAAGGUGAUGUAUAGGGGCUGACGCCUGCCCGGUGCUGGAAGGUUAAGAGGAGUGGUUAGCUUCUGCGAAGCUACGAAUCGAAGCCCCAGUAAACGGCGGCCGUAACUAUA
rnacentral:rRNA from 1 species